GAUCCUGGCUCAGGACGAACGCUGGCGGCGUGCCUAACACAUGCAAGUCGAACGGAAGUUAGAGCUUCGGUUUUAACUUUAGUGGCGAACGGGUGAGUAACGCGUGAGGAACCUGCCUUUCAGUGGGGGACAACAGUUGGAAACGACUGCUAAUACCGCAUGAUACUUUUGGGAGACAUCUCCUGAAAGUCAAAGCUUUAUGUGCUGAAAGAUGGCCUCGCGUCUGAUUAGCUAGUUGGUGAGGUAACGG
rnacentral:rRNA from 1 species